rnacentral:rRNA from 1 species
AUUGAACGCUGGCGGCAGGCCUAACACAUGCAAGUCGAACGAGUGGCGGACGGGUGAGUAAUGUCUGGGAAACUGCCUGAUGGAGGGGGAUAACUACUGGAAACGGUAGCUAAUACCGCAUACCAUCAGAUGUGCCCAGAUGGGAUUAGCUAGUUGGUGGGGUAACGGCUCACCAAGGCGACGAUCCCUAGCUGGUCUGCGAGGAUGACCAGCCACACUGGAACGAAGACACGGUCCAGACUCGUACGGAAGGCAGGAGUGGGGAAUAUUGAACAAUUGGCGCAAUCCUGAUGCAGCCAUGCCACGUGUAUGAAGAAGGCCUUCGGGUUGUAAAGUACUUUAAGCGUGGAGGCGUUACCCGCAGAAGAAGCACCGGCUAACCACGUGCCAGCAGCCGCGGUAAUUC